rnacentral:rRNA from 1 species
CAGAGCAGUAACGUCAACUAAAACUUAAAGAACUUGGCGGUUUUCUAGAUCUCCUUGGAGGAGCUUGUCAUCGAAUUGAUAACCCACAAGACACCUCACCAACUCAAGACUUAUCAGCUUGUAUACCAUCGUCGUCAGCUCACAUCAAAAGAGAGUAAGCCAAAUGGAAAAUACCCACAACGUCAGAUCAAGGUGCAGCUAAUGAGCUGGGGAUAGAUGAGCUACUUUAUUCACAAAACAGGGGAAGUAACCA